UACGUAGGUGGCAAGCGUUGUCCGGAAUUACUGGGUGUAAAGGGAGCGCAGGCGGGAAGCCAAGUCAGCUGUGAAAACUACGGGCUUAACUUGUAGACUGCAGUUGAAACUGGUUUUCUUGAGUGAAGUAGAGGUUGGCGGAAUUCCGAGUGUAGCGGUGAAAUGCGUAGAUAUUCGGAGGAACACCGGUGGCGAAGGCGGCCUGCUGGACGACAACUGACGGUGAGGCGCGAAAGCGUGGGGAGCAAACAGG
rnacentral:rRNA from 1 species